AUGGGGCGGGGAAGGGGGGGGGUCCGUGGAGGCCGCGGCUAUGAAUACUUGCGAGUGGCCGUUUUAGGUAAACGAGGGAUGCGCAGCCCCGGAUUCAAGAAUGGACCACUGAACAGGAACACGGGGAGCACUUACAGGGAAUUGGGCUUAGAGUCACCCCCUAUGCCAGAGGACCCCCUAACGGAUUGCCGUAUCCUCCUAGCAACCUUCAACGGUCUGGACUGGUGCCCUCGCUCCAGUUCCUGUGUUCGUCCCGUCACCCAAGCAGCUACAGAAAAAUGCGUAGCGGCUCACGCAUGCUUCUUAAGGUUGCCGGCAGAAGAAAAACUGGCCUGUCCGGAAUCACUGGAGCCUAAGUGUUAUUCGCCGAACCGUUGUAAGCCAAAAAAUUGCACGAUCAUAUGCGAAGGCAGGAGAAAGAAUUUAUUUUCAGUCGUUAGCGCUACGACCGUGGACCUUGCAUCAGACGCGAUUCGAGCUCGGGCUGAAGGUUAAAUGAAACUUGCAUUGGUCAUGCAGCGAGUAGAGGCUCUUCCGGACCUACCCAACUGGCUGUAACUGAUCUCAUCCCAUUCAUUUCCAUUCGAAGGUGAUAUAAGAAUCAAUUUCACGAUGGAUUAUGGAAUCGUCGAUGUGUAAAACUGUCAACUCGCUGAGGCCUACCUUAAAGUUUUUAAAAAUAUAAUUUAUUUAUUCUUUUUUGUUUGUUUUUUUUUCAUUGCAACACAUAACUGUAAUCCUUUUGCAAGUAUAGCGACUUGUUUUCUGUCAUUUUUUAUUUUUUUAUCAUCAAAUUUCUGUCCACAAAGUUUACGAUACGUUUCAAGAUUAUCUGCUUCAAUACUUUGUACAGUUCACGAAAAAAAUAGGUAGACAGGGAAUUAUCCGCAUCAGUUAGCUUUUUAAGACGUCUUUAAAUAUUCCUAGACCAAUGUAAUCGUAUAAUCAGUUUUUGCUAGAGCUUUGUUAAAAGAAACUACUUUUUAUAAUGCUACGUCACAGGCCUCUUUAAACAUUUCUUAACAAAGUUCUCUUCAAACUUUCGGCAGUCAACGCGCUGAGAUUGGGCUAACGAUGACUGAUGACCAUAGAAUGGAGCAAUUGGUUAACAAUUCUAACCUUAUUUUCCUCUUCUUCUUGUUAUUUUAGUGGUUUUUACUCCAGAAGAGGAGCCUACAGCCAUCUAGAGACAUUUAGUAUAAUAUUUUAGGAGUAGAAUUUAUUAGGUAUAAGGUUAGGAAUAUUUGUGGUGGUUAUUUUGAAGAAAAAGAGGGUAGGAUCUCGAGGACCAACACCAUUUGCACAUCCACGAGACCCUUCAGGACGACUUCCUAUACCAUAGUUAGAUUGGGUCUUGAAAAACAUUCAAUGGGAUAACCUUAUUUUCAAAACUAGCAAAACAAAGUGCUCACCUCGACAUCCAUCAGUCAUCAUUCAACGAACCUAAUUUGAUUUUUUGCUGAGUAAAUUGGUCAUCAACCAUCAUUAUGCGAAAAGUAGCGUUGACCUCCGAAUUUGUCUUUUGCCUCGUUCGAUUACAUAAUAGGGGUCUCUGAAAAAUAUUGCCUCUGAGUGCAAUAAGUUAAAAAAAUAUGAGCCUUUCUUUUCGUUGAAAAUAACCUCGACAGAUGCCAAAUUCUAGGAAGGCCGAAUGACGUAUGACCAUCCGCAUAAAUCAAAUUGAAGUUGAAUCAGGUGCUACUGAAUGAAUGUAACCGAUUGAGUAUGGCUGUAUGUUGAUUUCCAAAGUUUCCGCAAAGAAAAAAAUUCGUGUUACUGCAUAAACAGAGGUAACACUUACUUGGGAAUAUUUUCCACGCCGAAAGGAAAAUAUUCAGUCCCGUUAUAAAGCGGACCAGUAAAAUUUACGCGCGAUAGUCCGCCUUUUCUGGAUAAAGUGACAAGUUUCAAAAAUUGGAUUUUUCCCGGUCUCAGCUGUAUCGUUUUCGCUGUUUCAACAUGAGGAUUCUAUUGCAUUUACUUGAAUUCGGCCUCUUCGUGACAUUCACAGUGCAAAAAAUUGAGGUAAGAUUUUUAGAGUAAACGGAUGCACAAUUUGUAAAUCAGAUCCUGAAGCCACGGUCAUUAGGAAUGAAUGUUUGGAAGGACUCAAAACCGUUCUUCAUUGACCUGAUGUAUUCUGUCGUCAUCUGAUGUAAAUGAGGGAAGUCGUUUUUUAAACAGGGUUAACUUUUUGGCGACUUGGAGAAUAUUGCUCUGAGCUAAAAUUUGAUUAAAUGGAGAAUGGGAAAAUGACAUCAAGAUUCUAUCACUUACUUUUCGGAAAUUAAUUACAAAAAAAUUGUGUAACAGACUUAACAAUUCCACAAAGACCUGUAAGUUCCAUGAUAUCAUGUCCAGCUUUCGAGCACACUUAAAAAUACGUCCUUUUAUAUUUCUUGAUAUUUUAUUGAAUUUUUGAUGACUUUUCAGAGUUUUUCCCAGCCAAAAUUUAAUAAAAUGAAGAACAGAAAAAUGACCCUCUGACUCUGCACGCACUUUCCAAGAACUAGUUGUAAAAAAAAUGUGUGACAGCCCCCUUUACAUCGAUUGGGUCAGUUGCGCCGAUCACAGAGUCGUGUUUUGAUGUUUGAUAAUUAUUGUAGAUCAGGUGAAAAUAAUGAGAUCCGCUCGAACAGCAAAUUUCUACGUUCAAUGUUAACAAGUCGUAGUUUAGUCUCACAAUAAAAACGGUGAGGCUCAUAGUGUCCUUUCUUUUAAUUUUUCAUGUUUUGCCGGUUGAAAAUGCGGGUGUGAUCCCUACCAAACGUCCCGGGUUUCUUAUUUUAUUUUAUGUGUUUCUUUUCAUUUUAUUAUUUGCGGCCUUAGCCCCGUUUUAAAUCGUUUCUCUAUUAACGUUUCGGGCCGAUUAAGUUGUUUGUUCAAUUUUAACCGAGAAAUCGCCCUUAGAAAAAUUCGGUUUACAUCCACCGACUUUCUCAAAGCUCGAUAUCUCGGUUAAAACAGCAUAGAAAAUUGCUAUAUUUGAACGGAUCUUAUUAUUUUCAGCUGAUCUAAGAGAAUCAAAAAUCAAAACACGAUUCUGUGACCAGCGCAACUGGCCCAUUCUGAGCAGUGAUCCCUGCACGUAUGUUCUUCAGCAAGAAGACCCAAGUGACCCACAGCCGUUGGGACUUCCACCUAUCCCUCCUUAUAGAGGGAGCAUCCACGAUGAUUGUCGUAUCCUGCUGGUUACGUUCCACUACCAGGACGAAUGCUCCAGUUUCAGCUCCUGCAUACGCCCGAUUGGUCAGGUAGCUAAGGAAAAAUGCGUAGAAGCUCACACCUGCUUUGCUAGGUAAGCACUUAUUCUACCGUACUAAAGAAAAACGCCGUAUGAACGUUCGAGGAUUGUAAAAUUUACUUUCGAUUUUCCAUUUUUCGAGGACAUUCUUAAAAACUAUCUUUAAAACUUCGGAUUAGAGUAUCUAUAUAGGGAGAAAAUGUCGGUAAUUUUGAGAUCAAGUGGUUAAGCUCUUAGGGCCCAAAAGGGCAGCCAAUUUAUGAAUUCAAAUUAUCGAACGUGAUUUAUUAGUACAAUGGAUAAUUUGCAUGCAAAUUUUUUAUUGCUUCAUCUGAAAGUGCUUGAAGAGCUGAUUUCACAGUAUUUUUUAUACUUUUUUCUGAUUUGGGAAACAGUAUAAAAAUAGAUUUAAAAGUGAAAAAAUUCACCGCCUAGUGACGUCAUCUGGCGGCAUUCCCCAUUUAGACACACGUAUUUUAGCAGAUUAGAUCAUUUCGCCAUAUCUUUCUUCUCCAAUAAUUUCUCAAUUCAUGAACCAAAGGUAUCCUCGUGUUCAGUUCAAUCAGUAGUUUCCACUUAAACACGAAAUUCAUCAAAUUUCAGACACCUGCAAAUUCUCUAUUGUCACGAUCCGUCGGUGGUAAAGCAUAUAUUUUAUUGUUUUUCUAAACUUCACUCAUUUCUGUGGAAGAGCACUCAUUCGUGAAUAUUCUCGCCCUUACAAUCUUUUCCAUUUUCAACGAUUCAUAACAAAUAAUUUCAAAUAAUAAUUGAAAUGACUUACCACAACCUCAUUAUAAUUUGAGAGUGAGAAAUGUUAUUGAUGUUGCUGUUUCCUUACCUGAAAUAAAACAGAGACAAGGAGUAAUUAGUAAAAUAAAUUUAAAGCAUGAAGCAAA
rnacentral:lncRNA from 1 species